UUAAAUUUAUUUCAAUUUUGUUCUAUAUUCUUAGUACUCGGGUUGAUAAAGACCUUUCCUGGAGCCGCCUUUGUCAUCGGGGGUAUUAUGAAAUAUAGCUCAAAAAACCAGCACAAUGUAU
rnacentral:precursor_RNA from 15 species